ACAUUUUUGUACCAAAGUAAAUUUGUAUUUAAUUCCUUUUUGAAUAAAUCUUUUGAAACAUCCUCAUAUAUGGCCAAAUUUUCAGAUAGACUCUUUUCCAAUAACCUUGCACAUGAUAAAGCUGCUGAACACUGAUAUGUUUAUAUUCUACUGUGGAGAUAGGCAAUAAAUAGAGUAACUGUAUGGUUCAGACACAAGCAGUUUGGUAGUUUUGAUGAAAGGCAAUAAGGUGGAUCUACCUUGACUGUUUCUGUUUUGUCAGUGAAAUACAAGUUAAGGCAUGAACUGAGAGAGAGAAGAAACAGUGCUAGAGACAAGAUAGAAGAGAAGUUGAGAAAUUUGUUCUUUACUGAAUGAAAGACUAACUUUAAGGUAGGAUUGUUGGGCAGACCUGAGGAAACACUUUUGUGUUUUAGACCAGACACACGCACACACACACAAAUAUCAAAUUACAGGGACAAAAGAAGAAGUGAAAUCUCAAAAAUUUAAGCAUGUAAGAAACUGAUUAGCCCUAAGGAUAUGUACUUGGGCAAAUGGAAUGUUGAUGCAUACCACAAAAGUCUGGAGUUCUAGGGAAGAAUUGGGGCUGGAGAUAGAAAUUCCAGAACACCAGUGUGCAAGCCGCUAAAUGCCACAGGACAGAAGGGAAUGAGCACAAGAGGAGUUCAUUUGCACACAGGGAAGUAUUUGGGGACUGAGCCUUUGCUGUUGCCAGCAAGAAUCAGCCUGGAAGACAGGAGAAGCCAGGCAAAGCUUCUGUUACAUGGUUCCGUUUGUUACUCAUCUGAACAAACCAAGGGUCAGCCAACCCUGAGAAGACUUUGGAUCUCAUUGAAUUACAACUUGUAUUGUGAAAAACAAUACCUUUCCUGGCAUGGACUUCUAAAAAAAGUGAACAUUUACUCAGCAUUUUCUCACUGACAAAGGACAUUGACAAGCAGGUGAAGAGUGUGGAUGCAGUGAAGCUUCCGCCCCGGAACUGGUGGUUUAGAGACCAGAUAGGUUUGUAGCUCUGAUCCUAACCUAGUGCAGCUCUCCCUUUAGGCCAGCCGCAUUGGACUCUGGGCACUCUUCCAGCCAAAAGUGAAUUAGGAAGCUACAUCUGUUCACUUUCACCCUCACCUAACACAUAUCCUUGUGCCUCUUGAUUGCAUUCAGUAGUAAACUUAAGUGGAUGAAACCUUGAAUCAAGACCAAAUCAUCAUUCCCACCAACCUUCAAGUGCAGAGAAGCCUGGUGUUACUUUCCUGAUCUCACUUGUAAAGCAAAUGAAAUACAUGCACAGUGUGUACCUUUUACUUAACAGCAGUAGGUUUCGAACAUUUUAUGGCGAGUGUUUGAUGACUGUUUCAGGUGUUGCUGAAAAGUAUAAGAAUGCCAGGGUAAUUGUGAAAAGGAGCAUGUCCCCAUGUGGCUUUGAACAGUGACAUUCCCUAUUAGUAAGACUGGAGAAUUAAGUGUCAAGGCUCACUCUUUUAUUUUUUUAAGAGUUAUUUUAUUUUGUUUUGCUUUUUUGCUAUUUAUUUUAUUUUGAAAGAGUUACAAAGAAAGAGAAGGAGAGACAGAGAGAGAGGUUUUCCAUCUGUUGAUUAAAUACUCAGAUGACCAAAACAACCAGGGCUGGGCCAGGCCAGGAGACAGGAGCAAGGAGCCAGAAGCCAGGAACUUCUUUGGGAUUUUCCAUGGGCAGAGGGGCCCAAGGACUGGGCCAUACCUCUACCGCUUUUCCAGGCUUAUUAGCAGGGACCUGGCUUUGAAGUAGAGAAGCCAGUACUUGAACCAGCUCCCAUAUGGAAUGCUAGUGAAUCAGAUGCUUAACCUUCUGUGCCACAGCCCCAAUCACAAGGCUGUUUCUUUCAUGGAAGAGGCAACUGCAUGACAGUUUUCUAUUUCUCUGUUUAAUAAAAUUGGGAAAAUAAACACAUAGAUCACUCAAUAUUUACCUUUUCAUUAUGGUUUAGCUCAUAAAGUCUCACUAGUAUUCUACCACUUUCCUUUAGUGAUUCUUUCUCUGCAGAUAUGUAAUAAGAAUCUUUUCUAGGGGAAUUGUGCUGUGGUAAAGCAGGUAAAGCCACUUCACGAAUGCGAGCAUCUCAUAUGAACGUAAGUUGCAGUCCCAGCUGCUCCACCUCCAGUCCAGCUCUCUGCUAACAGCCUGAGAAAAGCAACAGACGAUGGUUCAAGUGUUUGGGCCCCUAGUGCCCACAUGGGAGAUUUGAAAAAAGCCCCUGGCUUCUGGCUUCAGCCUGACCCAGUGCUGACCACUGCAGCCAUCCGGGGAGUGAACCAGGGGAUGAAAAACCUCUCUGUCUCUCCCUGUAUCUCUGUAACGCUGACUUUCAGAUAAAUAAAUAAAUACUUGAAAAAAAAAUCUUCGUUAUGUAUUUGACUUGUGAACAUUAAGCUUUUGUCCUGUAUUUUGCUGUUGAUUUCUAUGUGACACCACAAGCAAUAAUACUUAGGGUCGCUCCUUUUAAAUUAAGUCUUAUAAUUGUUCAUUGGAACUAUGGCAACAGUUAUACCCAAUAAGUUAAAGAUCAAAAACAGAACCAUAGGGUCAUUGCAAUGAAUAUUUUGACAUAGACAUGAAACUUUUCAGCCUGCUCAGUGUCACUGAAAUGUUAAUCAUAGCUUUUAAUUUUCAUAAUAGCUUCUCUUAUGUGGUUACCUUUGUUGUUCAACCAAACAAGUCAAGAUUCAGACAUCAAAUUAUGCUUAGACUGAAGAUCUUUCCCAGCAACACUGCAUGGAAUAGAUUUCUCUUGGAAGAGAAAAUAUUUAAAUUUGAAUGUGCAGUGGUUAAAUAUAAGCCAAAAAUAAAAUCUGAUAUGUUAUUAUCAAGUAAUAAUUUUAUAAAACAACUUAUUCCUGUCUCCCAGUUUACCAGAGAAGAGCAAAAAGAAGCCAAAAUACUGAAGCUAAUCCUUUGCAAGGAUAGAUUCUUCUGUAGAGUGAUUUUCCAAAAAAAUCCCUGGAAUAGUCUUAAAAAUCUAUGUCUUUAGUUUAUUUAUCAGAAUAGACAUUCCUGAAGUUGAUUCCAAACUUGUUAACAUAUAGAUACAUAUUUUUCAGCAAUAUUUGGUUCUUAGAUCAUGAAAUGCUUUUAACUAUGCUGAAAAACAAGAUAAAUUAUCCGAUUUAUUCAUUAACUGCUUAUUUACAUUUGCUGAUGUGAAUAUUUUAGAGUACAAAAGGAAAAUUGCUCAGAGACAAUUUUCAAUGACAUUUUUUCCUGCCAGUGCCAAUGAUUUCUUUUUUAUGUCCAUUUAUUUGGCAAAAGAAGCUGGUUUUGUUGUUGCCAUUUUUUUUUCCUGUAGACGAUAAAACUACUCUUAAUUUUCUUAUUUACAAAUGUCGUCCCUUGUGUCCUUUGUAAGGCAUUGAAAUGAAUUUCAAAGAUACCUUCCUUCAUUAUUAUUUUGCAGCUGUCCCUAAAAUGCCUGAAAAGUUGCAAAUAUUCUUUACCAAAAUAGAUCUGCUACCUAAUCAAUAGAGUAGUGAAAUACUUAAACAAAUGCAAAAGAAAAUCUCAAGACUACA